rnacentral:rRNA from 1 species
UACGGAGGGUGCGAGCGUUGUCCGGAAUCAUUGGGCGUAAAGGGCGCGUAGGUGGCGCGACAAGCGUGCGGUGAAAGCUCGGGGCUCAACCCCGAGUCGGCCGUGCGAACUGUUGUGCUUGAGGACUGGAGAGGAGACUGGAAUUUACGGUGUAGCGGUGAAAUGCGUAGAUAUCGUAAGGAAGACCAGUGGCGAAGGCGGGUCUCUGGACAGUUCCUGACGCUGAGGCACGAAGGUCAGGGGAGCAAACGGG